rnacentral:rRNA from 1 species
UACGUAGGUGGCAAGCGUUUGUCCGGAUUUAUUGGGUUUAAAGGGUGCGUAGGCGGCCCUGUAAGUCAGUGCUGAAAUACCCCGGCUUAACCGGGGGGGUGGCAUUGAUACUGCAGGGCUUGAGUACAGAUGAGGUAGGCGGAAUUGACGGUGUAGCGGUGAAAUGCAUAGAUAUCGUCAAGAACACCGAUAGCGAAGGCAGCUUACUGGGCUGUAACUGACGCUGAUGCACGAAAAGUGUGGGGGAUCAAACAGG